UACGAAGGGGGCUAGCGUUGCUCGGAAUCACUGGGCGUAAAGCGCACGUAGGCGGAUUGUUAAGUCAGGGGUGAAAUCCUGGAGCUCAACUCCAGAACUGCCUUUGAUACUGGCGAUCUCGAGUCCGGGAGAGGUGAGUGGAACUGCGAGUGUAGAGGUGAAAUUCGUAGAUAUUCGCAAGAACACCAGUGGCGAAGGCGGGUCUCUGGACAGUUCCUGACACUGAGGCACGAAGGCCAGGGGAGCAAACGGGG
rnacentral:rRNA from 1 species